rnacentral:rRNA from 1 species
UACGUAGGGUGCGAGCGUUUGUCCGGAAUUAUUGGGCGUAAAGAGCUUGUAGGUGGCUCGUCGCGUCGGGAGUGAAAACCCGCGGCUUAACCGCGGGCCUGCUUUCGAUACGGGCGGGCUAGAGUUCGGCAGGGGAGACUGGAAUUCCUGGUGUAGCGGUGGAAUGCGCAGAUAUCAGGAGGAACACCGGUGGCGAAGGCGGGUCUCUGGGCCGAUACUGACACUGGAGAAGCGAAAGCGUGGGGAGCGAACAGG